GAUAAGACUGAAACAUAU
rnacentral:snRNA from 1 species